rnacentral:rRNA from 1 species
GACGAACGCUGGCGGCAGGCCAAACACAUGCAAGUCGAGCGAGCGGCGGACGGGUGAGUCAUGUAUGGGGACUGCACGAUAGAGGGGGAUAACUACUGGAAACGGUGGCUAAUACCGAAUACUGUCGGAUAACCCAUAUGGGAUUAGCUAGUAGGUAAGGUAAUGGCUUACCUAGGCGACGAUCCCUAGCUGGUCUGAGAGGAUGAUCAGCCACACUGGGACUGAGACACGGCCCAGACUCCUACGGAGGCAGCAGUGGGGAAUAUUGCACAAUGGGCGCAAGCCUGAUGCAGCCAUGCCGCGUGUAUGAAGAAGGCCCUAGGGUUGUAAAGUACUUUCAGUCGGGAGGCGUUACCGACAGAAGAAGCAACGGCUAACUCCGUGCCAGCAGCCGCGGUAAUUC